AGUUUGAUCUUUACUUGGACAAAGACUUGCAUUAUUUCCUGAAAUUUUUUGAAGACAUGAAAAAGUUUAAAGUUUCAUGACAAGUUUAAGUUCUUGGAUUAUAAGAACUUAUAGUCAUCUAAAUUGGUACAUGUAUUAGAUAGGAAAACCAGACACUAUAGCCAUUAUUUAGAUUUUCAACAAUGGUAGACUCAGAGUAUAUAUACAGUCACAGGACAAAAAGAAUUUACAAGACUAUCCACAACACUCUCAUGUUGAUGAAUUGUUAAACCACAGAAACUUAAAGAAGACCUACAGAUAACCUAGGCUGUAUAGUACAACAAUAUAAAAGAAUCGGCCAGUUGUGUUCAUCUAUAAGGAACCCAAAAAUUGAGCAAUGACCUUGAAAAGGAAGCAAUGUGUACAGUAAGAUAUCCAUCUUUGUAGUAACCAAAGAGUGGGGGUAAGAACCAUGUCUAUGAUUACAGAUGGUAAGUAUUUUUUUGUUGGUUAAAAUUUAUGCAUCAGGACACUAUAAUUUUUUUUUAGAUCCUGAUUAGGAAAAAAGGGGGGAUGCAGGUAUACAGCAAUGAAGCAGCAACCCAACAAAAUUAUUUUUUCAUAUCUUAAAUCCCACCCUUAGAAAUGAAAUGAAAAAUGUUCAAAUUUUUAGUCCUGCUGAUAUGAAAACUAGUGCAAUGCCUAAAUCAAACUACCUAAUUUCAAGCAGAAUUAUUUUUUGGAACAGCUUCAAAGUUUUGAUUUGCUAGUUCAUGUCCAUUUAAACAAAACUACCAGAUGCAACUAAACAUUUUUGAAAAUAUUUGAGAGGACACCAAGAGAAAACUUUCAAUCCUUUUAUUUUUUUAAAUACUUUAUUAUUGGCCUUUAACAUUGAUAAUUUUUCAAUUGUUCUGGUAAUUUAAUUUAUUCAAAUUUUUACAAGAGAAUGGAAGUUGUUUUGAUGAAAAUCACCUUUUAUCAAUGGGAGGUAACUUUGAUAGAUUUUUCUUAUGUGUUUUUAAAUGAAGCCCGGGCCCUCCUUUUUGGUAAAAUUUUGGUUGCUUAUAUAGGGAAUCAAUGAAGCAUGGCUGGAGCAGGCCCCUGAUAGGCAGUCAAUGGGCCCCACAUACUAAAAUUUCUGGAUUCACCGCUGUAUAACAUAACCCUUUGCCUUGCUUUAAUACUUCAACACAUCUUUUUUACUCCACUUUCCACAAAAUUAAGGCAAUGAUGUAGGAUGCCAUUCUAACAAAACCCCACAGCAUGGAAAACCCUCAACAUCACACUUACAUGUCAAAUGUGUAUCCUACUUCAUAAUAUCAUUUAAUAAUGUUAAUAUUCAAGUUUUAAAAAGAAUUUUUAUUUAAAAAAGAUUUUACUUAUUUCUACUCUGCAGAGACUAUUUCACCAGCACUUUGACAGAUACACAGAGACUUCUGACAAAUAUAAGUACCGGUACUCAAUAGAGUUUAAUGCACUAUUGGGCAACUGGGUUUAAGGAUAUGGAAAGCGCUCUAUCAUAGUUGGUAGUUCUAAGUGCUUUGAUCUCUUAGAUGAGGUCUUGCAUAGAAACUUAUGUUCCUAUGUUUCAUAUAAAUGUUCAGUGCAUUAUUUACUGCCAGCCAUCUGAUUGACUUUGACUGAAGACUUAUUUUUAGUGUCUGCAGAGUUAAAAUGAGUUUGAUCAAAACCCAGCUUAUAUAUUCCAAGUCUUGAAAAGAUUUGAUUUCAAUUUCCCAUUCAUUUCAUGUUUUUACUUUUGAUAGCAAGGCUGAGGGUUUAUGUUCUAGAGUAAACUUUUUGGACAAAGAGGUUGUCACUGUUCCUCAACAAAAAAUUAACGAACAAAUUUGUAAAGCUAAGCUAGAGAUGUGCUUAGGAAAGACUAUCUGUUUCUUUGAGGUUGAACAGGUUAUAAAAAACAAUUCAUUAUUUUGUGUAUUUAAUCCAGCUUCCACUCUUCUUUUAAAGUUUGAACAAAAAACAUUUAAAUUUUUUUCCCUUAAAGGGUAACUGGAUAAUUUUUUUUAAACAUUAAAAUAAAAUAAAUAAAGUAAUAUUAAUUUGAUUUAAGCAGCCACUUGGGUAAAUUUGACAAAAGUAGUGGAUGGUUGCACAUAUAUACAGCAUGGUCAGAUCUUUAAAGGAAAGAAAUGUCAAAAUUUAAUAUAAAAAAGAAGCAACCACAAAAAUCAGCAUCCCUUACUAAUUUGGUCCCUAUAAAAUAUUCUUUCACAGGCAAAACUAAAAAUUUUAUGCUUUCAUUUUUCACUAGCUUGAGAGAAAUUUUCUUGAAAGUAAAAAUCUUACAUUAAAUCCUCCAAUCAUGUAGCUGCAUUUAAAAUUCUGCAAAACAUAAUGAGGCUUGCGGUCAAAUAGUUUCACCAAGGAUUUGUAUAUUUGGACUAUAAACUAUACAAAUCCUUGGUUUCACCCAGGUCCAAUAGUUGGAAAUAUUUGACAAGUCCAAUAGUUCAAAGCUUGUAAUUUGAAAAAUAGUGAAAAUAUUGUGUACUUAUUUUAUAUAGAAAAUGAUAACUGAGGUAUAAGAAUGUAUACUAAUAAACUGUAUAAAAAUGUAUACUUAUUGACUGUGUAUGAAUGGAGUAUAGUAAGUUUAUUGUUCCUCAUGAUAAAACUAUUGUCCUAAGGCGUAGCCGAGGGCAGUAGUUGUAUCUGAGGGGACAAUAAAUUUACUAUUCCCUCAUAUCCAGUCAAUUAGUGUUUUAUUAUAUUGAAAAAGACAACAGACAACAAAAGGCUGUGAUAAAUCAACUAUUGCAAUGGCAGAAACCCAACAAUAACAUUUACUUCAUAAAUAUUCUGAAAUGCUAAGACUACGUCUUGCACUGAUGUCAACCCUAGAUACAAUGGGUAAAAAUUACUACUCCUGGUAUUUUCAAAAUCCUCCAUUAUUGCUAGAUCUGAAAUCCAGCAAAAUAUGAUGAAGCUUGCAGUCACAUAGUUUCAACGAGGUCCAAUAGCUGGAAACUAUUGACUAGUCCAAUAGUUCAAAGCUUGUAAGUCAAAAUAUUGAGUACUUAUUUUUAUAUAGAAAAUGAUAACUAAGGUAAAACAAAUAUUUAUUUUUCAUUUCAGGGGGUAAAGUGACUUCAAAGAAUUGAAAUAAGGUUGGUUGAUCCAUUUUAAUUUAUAUUUUUUAUGUGUAAUGUUUUAUAUGUAUUUCUAUUUCAUUUUCAGGUUAACCACAGACAUUUAAUUUAUAAAGUUUCUUUUUGUUUCAGAUGGAGCCGGGAGGAUGUUUCAGUCACAGACCUUGGAUGGACUCCGUUGUAGCAGACUAGGGAGGGUAGCGCAUAGUUCUCGCAACGCUAUACAAUAGUAACAAACUCAUUCUACUCUGAGAUUGUUAAAGGGCCUGUUUGAUAGAAGUGACACCAACGUUCUCCAACUUUAUUUUUGUUUCAGAUGGAGCCGGGAGGAUGUUUCAG